rnacentral:rRNA from 1 species
AUUGAACGCUGGCGGCAGGCCUAACACAUGCAAGUCGAACGAGUGGCGGACGGGUGAGUAAUGUCUGGGAAACUGCCAGAUGGAGGGGGAUAACUACUGGAAACGGUAGCUAAUACCUAAUAACAACGGAAGUGCCCAGAUGGGAUUAGCUAGUAGGUGGGGUAACGGCUCACCUAGGAGACGAGCCCUAGCUGGUCUGAGAGGAUGACCAGCCACACUGGAACUGAUACACGGUCCAGACUCCUACGGGAGGCAGCAGUGGGGAAUAUUGCACAAUGGGCGCAAGCCUGAUGCAGCCAUGCCGCGUGUAUGAAGAAGGCCUUCGGGUUGUAAAGUACUUUCAGCGAGGAGGCGUUACUCGCAGAAGAAGCACCGGCUAACUCCGUGCCAGCCGCCGCGGUAAUAC